rnacentral:rRNA from 1 species
CCUACGGGAGGCAGCAGUGAGGAAUAUUGCACAAUGGGGGAAACCCUGAUGCAGCGACGCCGCGUGAGCGAUGAAGUAUUUCGGUAUGUAAAGCUCUAUCAGCAGGGAAGAAAAUGACGGUACCUGACUAAGAAGCCCCGGCUAACUACGUGCCAGCAGCCGCGGUAAUACGUAGGGGGCAAGCGUUAUCCGGAUUUACUGGGUGUAAAGGGAGCGUAGACGGCAGUGCAAGUCCGGAGUGAAAGCCCGGGGCUCAACCCUGGGACUGCUCUGGAAACUGUAAAGCUGGAGUGCGGGAGGGGCAGGCGGAAUUCCUGGUGUAGCGGUGAAAUGCGUAGAUAUCAGGAGGAACACCGGCGGCGAAGGCGGCCUGCUGGACCGUAACUGACACUGAGGCACGAAAGCGUGGGGAGCAAACAGGAUUAGAUACCCCGGUAGUC